rnacentral:rRNA from 1 species
UACGGGUGGGGCAAGCGUUGUUCGGAAUUACUGGGCGUAAAGGGCUCGUAGGCGGCCAACUAAGUCAUACGUGAAAUCCCUCGGCUUAACCGGGGAACUGCGUCUGAUACUGGAUGGCUUGAGUUCGGGAGAGGGAUGCGGAAUUCCAGGUGUAGCGGUGAAAUGCGUAGAUAUCUGGAGGAACACCGGUGGCGAAGGCGGCAUCCUGGACCGAUACUGACGCUGAGGAGCGAAAGCCAGGGGAGCAAACGGG